rnacentral:rRNA from 1 species
CACGUAGGGCGCAAGCGUUGUCCGGAAUUAUUGGGCGUAAAGAGCUCGUAGGCGGUCUGUUGCGUCCGCUGUGAAAACUCGGGGCUUAACCCCGAGCCUGCAGUGGAUACGGGCAGACUAGAGGUAGGUAGGGGAGAAUGGAAUUCCCGGUGUAGCGGUGGAAUGCGCAGAUAUCAGGAGGAACACCGGUGGCGAAGGCGGGUCUCUGGGCCAUCACUGACGCUGAGGAGCGAAAGCGUGGGGAGCGAACAGG